rnacentral:tRNA from 2 species
GUCCGUAGCUCAGCUGGAUAGAGUACCUGGCUACGAACCAGGCGGUCAGAGGUUCGAAUCCUCUCGGACGCGCCA